rnacentral:snRNA from 1 species
UCUCUUGUGCUCGGGCGCGCGGUCGUACCAGUGAGGUUUUUACCGAGGUCGAUCUAUUUUGCUGAUUGCAAAUUAUACAUCCGAACCCGUCUGUUAGCUUCGGCUUUCAGCAAUUUUUGGAUCCUUCUCUUGCCUAGUGACCACUCUUUCGAGUUUGAAG